ensembl:lncRNA
GUAAGAAACGUGGGUUCGAUCCUUGGGUCAGGAAGAUCCCCUGUAGUAGGAAAUAGCAACCUACUCCAGUAUUCUUGCCUGGAAAAUCCCAUGGACAGAGGAGCUAGGCGGGUUGCAGUCCAUGGGGUUGCAAAGAGUCGGACACAACCAGGCGACUAAGCAUAACGACAAGGAGUAACUUCAUUUUGGCUUUAGCAUCGCCAUCCGCCAAAUAGCUGUGAAGGAGCUGGCAGUGCAAAUUAACUACAGUCAAAAGCCCCCUCCUUGGAACCUUGGGAGCAGGUGAUUUUACUGAGAUGGAAAGGGAAGAGCUCUGAGUUGCAUCUGCUUGCUUCGCCAACUUCAACCCUGAUGCAAGAUUCUAAUCCUGCAGCAUCCCAUCCAUUCAGUACUCAGGUCGGAUACUCCCUCUGGAGCAAAAUUGAAAGCUGAACUGUGCUCAGAGACUCUGCUGGCAGUGAAAACACCAGAGUGCGAAGUGAAAAAUCUAUGAUCUCCCCACCACCUUCUCCGAUGAGUGGGCCUCACCGGCCACAGCAUGGAUUCAUUUGAGUGCUGUCUUCUCUUGGCAUUUUGGGUUGAGUUUUCCAGGACACAAAGGCAUGAGAUGUUCCAGGAUCUCGAUCAUUUUUAUGGCCAGUGGGGAGGUAGAUGAGAAUAAAUAAUUGGAUCCAGUGUCCUGUGGAACAAAUGAAAUGGGAAAAUGCUCACGGUCAAGUUCUGGUUCAAAGUGACUGGCUCUUAGAUACGCAAGAAAUUUGGCCUCCCUUAAAAUACGCAAUGAGGAUGGAGCCUCCAGGAUUGAGUCUUAAAAGUGAGUCUUUCACAGGUUUCAGGAAGCAUUCAGUGCUUCCCAUUACCACCCAGCACUCAAGAGACAGUGUCAUCUAAAAAUCUGAGUUACAAAGUAGGGGCUGAGAUUGGAAAUAAAAUACAUACAUGAGUUAUGCUAUGAUGAGGGGAUUCCUGGGUAAUUUUUUCCUUUUCUCUAUUUUCCUAGGUUCCUGUAUGCCAUUAAAAAAAAGACACAACCCCCUUUCCUUUUUAGAAAGUCAGCCAUGCAAACACCGAGUUAAAAUUUGGGCAUUCAUUCUUGAGGCCUUUCUUCUCCUUAAAUGCCUCAAUCCGUGCAUCCUCUCUUCUCUAUCUCCGCCUUCUGGCCCUUAGCGCAGGCAUUUGGGGCCAUUUCAGUGCUCUUUUGAGCACUGACAUCCUCCCCUACGUGGCUUCCCCAUGACUGGACUCUCUCUUCAUGCAGUCCACCCUCCAACGGCAGUCAGAGCAACUUUCUAAAAUAGAAACCCUGUCACGUCACAUUCCUGCUCAACCUCUUCAAUAGUUUUUCAUUGCCUCCAGGAGACAAUUUAAAUUCCUUUCCAUAACACCCGGGGCUCUUCAGAACGAAACCUGCCAAGCUCUUCCUUGCUCCUUCCCCAGCAGCUCUUCCCCCAACCACUGCUUCUUCAGGCCCCGGGGUCACUCAUUCCAGCCAAAAGCCUUUAUUCCAGCCAUUCCCUUUGCCUGAAAUGCCCCCACCUCCCACCAAUACAGCCUCCCAGGCUCCACAAAGCCCAAGCAUCCUACCCUUGUCCACCCAAGGAAACGCUGCUGGCCAUACACAUGGCCUUGACACUGACCCUGUCCAUGUCACAGCACUGCACACGGGGCUUUGGAGCUGUGCCCCCUGCAUUUGUCUCUCUUACUAGACUGUGGGCUCCAGAAGGGCAGGGACCUGGUUUGAUUUAUUUCUGGAUCCUCAGCACAUGGCUUCUGCAGCGCCCAGAGCAGGGGAG